rnacentral:lncRNA from 1 species
AAUAUCAGGUGAUGAGUGAUGGAGGUAAAUGUCCUCAUGACUGUCCGUUAAUUGACUGAUCACUUCCUGACAUUGACCUGCUGAUGGUUUUUCGAGGUAUACAUUACUACCAUACCAGGUCCACUUCACCUCUCCAGUCUCUUCUCCUAAUAAUAAACACAGUGAUGCUGGUUUUUGUACCAGUAAGUCAUUACAGCUGGUAGGAUGGAAUGGGUGUGGUCUAUCUUUUAUCAUGUGACAGUAAACAAAAAUCAAUUUCCUUGGUCCAUUAUGCCAGCUAGUCAACUUCAAAGCACAAGCUAAUAAGAUUCUAUAUGAUAACUUA